AAAGUUCUACAAUAAAUGUACACAAUUUUGUCACUUUAAAAAUAAGCUACUGUUUUCUCUCGGUGGCGUACCUGAGCCUGGGCUACCUGCUGUAAGGCCGGAUCCAUAGCACUGCUGGCCUCCGCUGCUGCCCUUAGCUCCCGGCGGUGCCCUGCAGGGAGGCCCACAGGCGGGGCUGGGGUCAGGGUGGGCAUAAGCCGCGUGAGCACAAGCUUGGAUCUGACA
ensembl:snoRNA